rnacentral:rRNA from 1 species
UACGGGAGGCAGCAGUGAGGAAUAUUGGUCAAUGGGCGUAAGCCUGAACCAGCCAUCCCGCGUGAAGGAAGAAGGCGCUAUGCGUCGUAAACUUCUUUUCCAGAAGAAGAAAACCCCCGACGUGUCGGGGCUUGCCGGUACUCUGGGAAUAAGCAUCGGCUAACUCCGUGCCAGCAG